rnacentral:rRNA from 1 species
UUUGACCUCAAAUCAGGUAGGAGUACCCGCUGAACUUAAG